UACGUAGGGGGCAAGCGUUGUCCGGAAUCAUUGGGCGUAAAGAGCGUGUAGGCGGUCCGGUAAGUCGGUUGUGAAAGUCCAGGGCUCAACCCUGGGAUGCCGACCGAUACUGUCGGACUAGAGUUCGGAAGAGGCGAGUGGAAUUCCCGGUGUAGCGGUGAAAUGCGCAGAUAUUGGGAAGAACACCGGUGGCGAAAGCGCUCUGCUGGACCUGCACUGACACUGAGGGACGAAAGCUAGGGGAGCGAAAGGG
rnacentral:rRNA from 1 species